rnacentral:RNase_P_RNA from 1 species
GGCGAUCGGGCAUGAUCAUGCAUCAUGUCAGGAAGGUCCAUGCUCGCACAGACUGAGAUGUCUGUAGUGUUUGUGCUCGCUGAAAAAAUAAGGCGGGGCACCGAUCUGAUCGGUGACGGCGGGAAAACCGGCUAAGGCGUAAGCUAUGCCCCAGUAUCCCUGAAAAGUGCCACAGUGACGAAGCAGUAUUGGAAACAGUGCUGGUGGAACGCGGUAAACCCCUCAAGCGGUAAACCCAAACUACGGUAGGGGAGCUUUGGAUAGCGAAUUGAAGCGAUUCCAGGGGAGAGUUUUUACUCUGAGAUAGAUGAUUGCCUCGACGUUGUUAUGACCUGGUGACAAUGUUACGACAAAACAUGGCCUACAG